rnacentral:tRNA from 1 species
GGGCCCGUAGCCCAGUAUGGAUUAAGGCGCCGAAUCUCGUAAAGAGGUGCGUAGGCCUCCGGGCAUCCAAUGGGGGAAAGCCGGAGAACAGGGGUUCAAAUCCCCUCGGGCCCG